AAAUUGAAGAGUUUGAUCAUGGCUCAGAUUGAACGCUGGCGGCAGGCCUAACACAUGCAAGUCGAGCGGCAGCGGGAAAGUAGCUUGCUACUUUUGCCGGCGAGCGGCGGACGGGUGAGUAAUGCCUGGGGAUCUGCCCAGUCGAGGGGGAUAACAGUUGGAAACGACUGCUAAUACCGCAUACGCCCUACGGGGGGAAAGAAGGGGACCUUCGGGCCUUUCGCGAUUGGAUGAACCCAGGUGGGAUUAGCUAGUUGGUGGGGUAAUGGCUCACCAAGGCGACGAUCCCUAGCUGGUCUGAGAGGAUGAUCAGCCACACUGGAACUGAGACACGGUCCAGACUCCUACGGGAGGCAGCAGUGGGGAAUAUUGCACAAUGGGGGGAAACCCUGAUGCAGCCAUGCCGCGUGUGUGAAGAAGGCCUUCGGGUUGUAAAGCACUUUCAGCGAGGAGGAAAGGUUGGCGCCUAAUACGUGUCAACUGUGACGUUACUCGCAGAAGAAGCACCG
rnacentral:rRNA from 1 species